CGCGGAGUAGAGCAGAGGUAGCUCACUUGGCUCAUAACCAAGAGGUCACGGGUUCGAUUCCCGUCUCCGCUUCCA
rnacentral:tRNA from 1 species